rnacentral:lncRNA from 1 species
GGUCGACGAUCCCCGAUCUCCGAAGCGGACAAUACUUUCUGGAGCAGAACUCUGCCACUGAGCUACGGGCGCACCCUACUCAGUUGGUAUUCUCCUCUAGGAGGCGCCUUUUGAAGGGCAAACCCGUGAGGGCACCAGUCUCCCCCCGUCAGCACUGGACGCGCGGGCCGGAGCGCCCAAAGCGGACAAUACCUCGGGAGGAACGUGGUCCUCUUUCUCUGCUAGCUUAAUGUGGGCUAUGCUGUUGCGCGAGGCUCCGGCCAAAGCGCCGUCCCCGCAAGUAACACAUACUAUUGAGAAAGUUGUUUCUUUCAACAACUUUUUUUGAAAAAAUUAAGGAUCAUCCUUCCAAGUUUGGGCCAAUUUAUAUUUAGACCAUUAAAAGUCAAAUUAGCUAUUGAAAGAUUUAAAAGUGUCUCUUCCAUCUAUCUCCAUUUAUCAUGGAGGAUAAUGAUUAAUUUUUUUUAAAGUUUUAAAACAGCCUUUUUCACUAGCUUAACAAGAGAUUUUUAUUUUGGCAAAAAUUGAAGGAAAGGGAAGGAAGAGUGAUUCUUUAUGCUUGUGCAAGUAGAUGAAUGAUAAAGAAUGUAAAUUUAUGCAUGUAGAUGGAUGAUAAAGA